rnacentral:sRNA from 1 species
UGCAGGGCAGACGCACAAGAGCAGAAUCUCCGUGGGACAUCUCUCUGGAGCAUCAAUAUUACUGCAGUAUUUGGAAGAAACAAAUUUAAAUAAGUUCUAAGGUAAAGAAUG